GGAACCGGGAGAGGUAAGAGGUACUACAGGGGUAGGAGUGAAAUCUUGUAAUCCCUCGUGGGACCACCUGUGGCGAAGGCGUCUUACCAGAACGGGUUCGACGGUGAGGGACGAAAGCUGGGGGCACGAACCGGAUUAGAUACCCGGGUAGUCCCAGCCGUAACGAUGCUCGCUAGGUGUCAGGCAUGGCGCGACCGUGUCUGGUGCCGCAGGGAAGCCGUGAAGCGAGCCACCUGGGAAGUACGGCCGCAAGGCUGAAACUUAAAGGAAUUGGCGGGGGAGCACAACAACGGGUGGAAGCCUGCGGUUUAAUUGGACUCAACGCCGGACAACUCACCGGGGGCGACAGCAAUAUGUAGGCCAAGCUGAAGACUUUGCCUGAAUCGCUGAGAGGAGGUGCAUGG
rnacentral:rRNA from 1 species